UGUAUCUUGCAGUCCUGAUGAUGUCAAAGGUUCUGCAGAUGAUGUUUCUGCAGGUGUCGUGGAUCCUUCUGAAAUGGUGGUACUUUCUUGAGGGACAACACCCAGAGCCUUCCCAACUGCAGUUACACAUGUGCUACGCAAGAAAUCCGAAACAACAUUGUAAUGUACGUGUAAAAAAUGCAAACAAAAUUGUCAGCAAGGACAGAGGAGCAUGUCUAUCUCCUCAGCCAACAGAGGAGCACCUCUAUCUCCUCAGCCAACAGAGCAGCACUUCUAUCUCCUCAGCCAACAGAGCAGCACGUCUAUCUCCUCAGCUAACAGAGCAGCACCUCUAUCUCCUCAGCUAACAGAGCAGCAUGUCUAUCUCCUCAGCCAACAGAGCAGCAUGUCUAUCUCCUCAGCCAACAGAGCAGCAUGUCUAUCUCCUCAGCUAACAGAGCAGCACCUCUAUCUCCUCAGUCAACAGAGCAGCAUGUCUAUCUCCUCAGCCAACAGAGGAGCACGUCUAUCUCCUCAGCCAACAGAGCAGCACUUCUAUCUCCUCAGCCAACAGAGCAGCACGUCUAUCUCCUCAGCUAACAGAGCAGCAUGUCUAUCUCCUCAGCCAACAGAGCAGCAUGUCUAUCUCCUCAGCCAACAGAGCAGCAUGUCUAUCUCCUCAGCCAACAGAGCAGCAUGUCUAUCUCCUCAGCUAACAGAGGAGCAUGCCUAUCUCCUCAGGUAACAGAGGAGCAUGUCUAUCUCCUCAGCCAACAGAGGAGCACGUCUAUCUCCUCAGCCAACAGAGCAGCACUUCUAUCUCCUCAGCCAACAGAGCAGCACGUCUAUCUCCUCAGCUAACAGAGGAGCAUGCCUAUCUCCUCAGGUAACAGAGGAGCACGUCU